GACAGCGUGGCGUAGUGAUCUGAGUGUUGGACAAGGACUCUGGAGACCAGGGUUCGAAUCCCGGCUCGGCCA